rnacentral:rRNA from 1 species
CAGUAGCCGCGGUAAUACGUAGGGUGCGAGCGUUAAUCGGAAUUACUGGGCGUAAAGCGUGCGCAGGCGGUUUUGUAAGACAGAGGUGAAAUCCCCGGGCUCAACCUGGGAACUGCCUUUGUGAAUGCAAGGCUAGAGUACGGCAGAGGGGGAUGGAAUUCCGCGUGUAGCAGUGAAAUGCGUAGAUAUGCGGAGGAACACCGAUGGCGAAGGCAAUCCCCUGGGCCUGUACUGACGCUCAUGCACGAAAGCGUGGGGAGCAAACAGGAUUAGAUACCCCUGUAGUCCCUGUCUCUUAUAA